UACGUAGGGGGCAAGCGUUGUCCGGAUUUACUGGGCGUAAAGAGCGCGUAGGCGGAAGCUUAAGUGUGGCCUGAAAGCCCCCGGCUCAACCGGGGAAGGUGGCUGCAAACUGGGAUUCUUGAGGGCGAUAGAGGAGAGCGGAAUUCCUGGUGUAGCGGUGAAAUGCGUAGAUAUCUGGAGGAAUACCGGUGGCGAAGGCGGCAUCCUGGACCAUUACUGACGCUGAGGCGCGAAAGCUAGGGGAGCAAACGGG
rnacentral:rRNA from 1 species